UAGGGAAUCUUCCACAAUGGGCGCAAGCCUGAUGGAGCAACACCGCGUGAGUGAAGAAGGGUUUCGGCUCGUAAAGCUCUGUUGUUAAAGAAGAACACGUAUAAGAGUAACUGUUCAUACGUUGACGGUAUUUAACCAGAAAGUCACGGCUAACUACGCGCCAG
rnacentral:rRNA from 1 species